rnacentral:rRNA from 1 species
UACGGGGGGGGGCAAGCGUUGUUCGGAAUUACUGGGCGUAAAGGGCUCGUAGGCGGCCCUCUCAGUCGGAUGUGAAAUCCCCAGGCUUAACCUGGGAACGGCAUCCGAUACUGGAGGGCUUGAAUUCGGGAGAGGGAUGCAGAAUUCCAGGUGUAGCGGUGAAAUGCGUAGAUAUCAGGAGGAACACCGGUGGCGAAGGCGGGUCUCUGGGCCGAUACUGACGCUGAGGAGCGAAAGCGUGGGGAGCGAACAGG